GAUGAAGCAUCUGUGAUCUCUGUAAGUGGGACAAGCAAAAACACCAAUAGUGUGAACAUAGUUGAUUCUAUUGAUGAAGCUUCAUCAUCAUUACAAAAGAAUGAUACAAGUGGAUAGCAUUGCAAUUUGCAAAGCUUAAAUUUUAGGUUGCUAGCUAGGCAAGAGUAGCACCUUUAUAACAAAGCAUAUAUUAUAUAAAUAUGGAGAUUGGAGACCUUUAAUGUUCUCAAGUUUUGAAGCUAGACUAGCGAAUAUGAGGAAAAUUGAGUAACUUAUAAAUCUAAUACAUGGCUAGUUGUUUGAUAUUCAUAGGAUAAACUUCAGUUUUGUCGCUAGAAUUAAAAGCCUUAGUUGCUAUUAGAAUAUUCACAGCUUCUGUUGGGUGCAACCCAUCAAAGAACACAUGACUACUCCUUUCUUCACAGAUUUUACCAUCUCUUUUGCACAACGUACCACCUUCUGAUCCCACUUCACAACAAGCAUUGCUUGUGUCUUCAAAUCCUGUUAAACACAAAAAUCCAAAAAAAAAUAGCCAUUAGUCUACAAUUCCUAUCUGCUUGUAAUAUCAAAUCCUUAAAUUAAACCAUCCAAUUUUACCUUUGGAGACAGGAUUUUUAAUAAUGUCUGCAAUGAUCUUGUAUGAGUUGACAAAGACAAGGUAAGAACCAGGCAAUUUUGGCUUGAUGUCAUUCACCAGUGACUUUAGAUGAGCAUUGAAGAGGCGGGCUGCCCUGUUCAGAUCUUGGUUGCAGCUGCCAUUACUAGCCCUUUGCAUGGCCUUGACCAUGGGAUAGCACCCAAUUGGAUUGACUGACAUCAACACAAAUUUUCUACCCCCUAAAUUGUACAACUUCUCAAGCUGCUUAGAUAAUGAGUUGGUGAGAUUGGCAGUGAAGGCUUCAAGGCUGACACUUGCAUCGGAUGGCCUCAGGAAGUAGUUGAAAGAGUAAUCAUUCCCUCCAGUUCCCACCACAAACAAGUAGUUUUUUAGUAAUUUCCUACUUUGCAUACCCAUUUCAAUUUCUAAUCCUGGCAAUGUAAUCUCCUCAAAGUUCCUAAUUUGCUGAUUUAAGUUUAUCACCCCUCCUGCAAGUAAGCCAGUGUCAUCAAGAAUCCCAGAAGCACCAGAAGCAUAGUCGACGCCAUGGAUAAUUCUGAUUCCUAUGGUUGAAGGGUCAGCAAAAGCUGGGAUUAAAGGAAGAUGAAGCUGAUCACCAAGAAGAUCAAUCAAAUUUUUCCCAUUUGUGAAUCUACCAGAAGGACCAAAAGGGAAGUCUAUUCCAUAAGGCAAAUAAUUGGCCUUAGCCAUUGAGUUUGGGAGGAAGUUGUUGCUGUCAACUAGAGAGCUUCCAAACACAAACAUCCCUUGGAUCUUAUCAUCAACUCCUCCAUUAUUUUCCUCCAGUACUACCUUUGAAGAAUAGCAGCUGCAUGGAAAGAAACAGGAAAGGAUUGGGAGGUAUGAGAAGAGAAGCUUUGAGUUUUUCUUUCCAACCAUUUUGGUGAAAGUGAUGGCCUGAUGGGUAGCUCAAGUUUGAAGGCAAUGGUCUCUGU
rnacentral:misc_RNA from 1 species